UACGUAGGUGGCGAGCGUUACUCGGAAUUACUAGGCGUAAAGCGCGUGUAGGCGGGAACUUAAGUCUGUCGUUAAAGCUCAGGGCUUAACCCUGAAAUGUCGACGGAAACUGGGUUUCUUGAGUGCGGUAGGGGAGAUUGGAAUUCCAGGUGUAGCGGUGAAAUGCGUAGAUAUCUGGAAGAACGCCAAAGGCGAAGGCAGAUCUCUGGGCCGUUACUGACGCUGAGACGCGAAAGCUAGGGGAGCAAACAGG
rnacentral:rRNA from 1 species